UUCAACACGGCCGGCUGGAAAGAGCAGGUUCCCUUAAAUAUGUGGUCAGAGAGAGGCACCACACUGGGAAAAGAAAAAACAUUUUGCUGGAGAUUGUGGAAAAACA